AGGACGAACGCUGGCGGCGUGCUUAACACAUGCAAGUCGAGCGGUAAGGCCUUUCGGGGUACACGAGCGGCGAACGGGUGAGUAACACGUGGGUGAUCUGCCCUGCACUCUGGGAUAAGCCUGGGAAACUGGGUCUAAUACCGGAUAUGACUCCAGCAUGCAUGUGCUGGGGUGGAAAGCUUUUGUGGUGCAGGAUGGGCCCGCGGCCUAUCAGCUUGUUGGUGGGGUAAUGGCCUACCAAGGCGACGACGGGUAGCCGACCUGAGAGGGUGACCGGCCACACUGGGACUGAGACACGGCCCAGACUCCUACGGGAGGCAGCAGUGGGGAAUAUUGCACAAUGGGCGGAAGCCUGAUGCAGCGACGCCGCGUGAGGGAUGAAGGCCUUCGGGUUGUAAACCUCUUUCAGCAGGGACGAAGCGUGAGUGACGGUACCUGCAGAAGAAGCACCGGCUAACUACGUGCCAGCAGCCGCGGUAAUACGUAGGGUGCGAGCGUUGUCCGGAAUUACUGGGCGUAAAGAGUUCGUAGGCGGUUUGUCGCGUCGUUUGUGAAAACCCGGGGCUCAACUUCGGGCUUGCAGGCGAUACGGGCAGACUUGAGUGUUUCAGGGGAGACUGGAAUUCCUGGUGUAGCGGUGAAAUGCGCAGAUAUCAGGAGGAACACCGGUGGCGAAGGCGGGUCUCUGGGAAACAACUGACGCUGAGGAACGAAAGCGUGGGUAGCAAACAGGAUUAGAUACCCUGGUAGUCCACGCCG
rnacentral:rRNA from 1 species